rnacentral:lncRNA from 1 species
AAAUGUGCCGUGAUCAAGAAGUUCUGUCACUUCUUCAAUCAUUUUAUCAGCACAUUUUGCCAAGGUCACACGCGAAAUACCACUAUUUUGGUUCACUUCUGUUUCCAAGCUUUCGAAUUCUUUUUGCUUUGAUACUACAUUGCUCAACCAAUAUUUUACCACACUUUUUCGCAUUUUUCCUGGAUGACGUUCUUCCUCUCUUAGCCUUGCAACCAUAUCAGCUUCUUGAGAGUUGAGGAGUUCAAGCUUCCUCUUAAGAUUUUGCAUUUUUUUCUCAAGGUUGUAAUAAUCGCUCGCCACAUUCACCGCGAAGUUAGCUAACAUGUCACUCAUGGUCUUGUCUACAGAUAAGACGCCCAAAGUAAAUCACACAAACCCCACCUAAGUAAAAGAACAAAAAAGAAGAAGAUAAAAUAAUAGCAUUUAGAUCUUGACUCUACACUGCAGAUAUAAAAAUACUUGCAAAGAAAUAGACGGACAGUAAGCACAUCAAAGUCUCUGCAUAAUAACAUUUGGAAAGAAUGAUUCAAAAAAUAUAAUUUGUAUGAAAAAUUCCAAAAUAAUAAUUAAUUAUGCUAAAAGACAUGGUGUUUGUUACCUCUAAGACAAAACUAACACUGGAGUUUUUACUGCAAGAAGCUGAUGAGCCAAAAGACGAGAUACCAAUCUGCCUGGUGUUGUUGUAAUUGUUUCCUAGCUGAUGAACGGAUAUGUGAAGCUGGUUCAAUGGCAGAUUUAGGAAGAGACCGGCCAGGUUCCUGGAUGGACACGAGUUGACUUCAAGCCUAAGUCUUCAUUUAAUUCUGAUAUAGGUAUUCUUACCAUGAAUUGGCUUAUGUUAUUAGCCCAUGUUUCAGCC